UACGUAGGGUCCGAGCGUUGUCCGGAAUUAUUGGGCGUAAAGGGCUCGUAGGCGGUCUGUUGCGUCGGGAGUGAAAACUUACAGCUUAACUGUGAGCGUGCUUUCGAUACGGGCAGACUUGAGGCAUUCAGGGGAGAACGGAAUUCCUGGUGUAGCGGUGAAAUGCGCAGAUAUCAGGAGGAACACCGGUGGCGAAGGCGGUUCUCUGGGAAUGUCCUGACGCUGAGGCGCGAAAGCUAGGGGAGCAAACAGG
rnacentral:rRNA from 1 species